GGAUGAAGCAAUAUCUAAGGCUGCAGAAGGGAAAAGGCACUACUUCCACAAGAUAGAAGAAGCAAAAGAUAUCCCAGUGGAUGGGGAAGAGGCUAUAGAGAACAAACCUCCUUUUGAGACGCCAGAACAUAUAAACCUGGUAGAGAGUAUGCUAGAGUACCAUAUUGGAAAAGACAGUCAAUUUUCCAAACUUCAAAGUAGAAAAGAGAGAGGAAAAUCAUUUUGAAGUGGCAAGUGACAGUCACGGUUGGAGCCUGCCUUGCAAGAUAUCUUCAAAUCUGGAAUUUGCACGUCAAAGACCAGUGGGUUCUUUCGGUUAUAGACAAAGGAUACUAUCUCAAAUUCGAAGAAAAUAUUCCAUCCAUUAUGGUCAAGUCUUCAGUAUCUCAAGAAAAAGAAGCCUUUAAUGAAAGAAUGUCUAGAAAAACUACUUCAGCAAGACAUUUUUUGUCACGUGCCCUAGACAGAAGUAUUUCAAGGUGCUUAAGCCGCUGUUUUUCUCGCCCCAAAGCAAUCAGGGAAGUGGAGGAUGAAAUUAGACCUCAAGAAAGUGAAUUAUUUUCUGAAGAAGAGAACGUUAAAGGUGGAGAGUCUUCAAACAAUCAUGCCUCAUAUUCAUUUAUCAGAAUGGCUGACAUCCAGCUUCAGGAUGCAAAUUAUCACAUCCCUAUAGCUGUAUCACACAGAAGGUUCCUGAGGUUCAAAAUGUUUAACAUUUAUUUUCAGUUCAAAGGCAUGCCAUUUGGUUCUGCUCCAAGGACGUUUACGAAAAUUUAGUUCGGCCUUAUAGUCAUUUUGAGAAUAAGAAUAUUUCACUAUCUGGAUGUCAUCCUAAUUGUGAACGCAUGCCAGAAAAAAAGUAGAUACGAAGAUGGUUAUCCAGAAGUUGCAAGACUUCGGCUGGAUAAUAAACAUCGUCAAGAGUCCAC